rnacentral:rRNA from 1 species
AGUGAACGCUGGCGGUAGGCCUAACACAUGCAAGUCGAACGGCGGCACAGUAAGAUCUUGCUCUUACGGGUGGCGAGUGGCAGACGGGUGAGGAAUACAUCGGAAUCUACUUUUUCGUGGGGGAUAACGUAGGGAAACUUACGCUAAUACCGCAUAUGACCUACGGGUGAAAGCAGGGGACCUUCGGACCUUGCGCGAUUGAAUGAGCCGAUGUCGGAUUAGCUAGUUGGCGGGGUAAAGGCCCACCAAGGCGACGAUCCGUAGCUGGUCUGAGAGGAUGAUCAGCCACACUAGAACGGAGGCGCGGUCCAGACUCCUACGGGAGGCAGCAGUGGGGAAUAUUGGACAAUGGGGGCAAGCCUGAUGCAGCCGUACCGCGUGGGUGAAGAUGGCCUUCGGGUUGUAGAGCCCUUUUGUUGGGAAAGAAAAGCGGCAGGUUAAUACCCCGCUGUUCUGACGGUACCCGAAGAAUAAGCACCGGCUAACUUCGUG